CGGAAGUUCAAGUCUUCCCAGGCCCACCAUGCUUCGCCCUUCGGGCUACGCAUGGCGCAGCCAUGCAGAAGCCUGAAAGGUGAAGCAUGGUGCCCGGCGAAGCCACUUGGCGAAGACGGGCAGCCACGGUUCAAUCGUCUCGACGAUCUAGCGCAAGCUUUCGUCUUUCCGAGUAUGGGGCCUUAGCUCAGCUGGGAGAGCGCGUGCUUUGCAAGCAUGAGGUCGUCGGUUCGAUCCCGACAGGCUCCACCACGCUUCGCCCUUUGGGCUACGCGUGGCGCGGCCAAGGGGCUGCUAGCGUGUUCAAUUCGUCCGCGAGACAACAUUUCGCAUCUUUUGGUCCUCACCGGGAUUACAGAAGACUGCGUGUUAUCUGACAUCGUGAAGAGGAGAUCGAUCCGAGUUGGGUCGUGCAAUGAGGGCCACCGCGCAAGCGGUCCGCACCUCGACUUUGCACCGACGCCUUCACUAUCUCCGGGUCAUUUCGGCGCAAGACACUCCAUGCUGCGAAGCAUGACGCUGUGAAGCGUGUGUCCUGUUGUAAAUGACUCUGCUCGCUGCGCUUGACCGCACGGCGAUCGGUUCGAUCUUAAGAAGCAAGCUGGUCUUUCUAAUCAGUGUCCUGCAGCUCAUCUGACGCUUGUCCUUCGGGACGGGUGAGGUGGCUGACAACAUUCUGCCGAGUGUGUGGACAUUGAUAAUGAGAGCAAUCAAGUGCCUUAAGGGUGUUCGGUGGAUGCCUUGGCGCUGAGAGGCGAUGAAGGACGUGCUACGCUGCGAUAAGCCGUGGGGAGCUGCGAAGAAGCUUUGAUCCGCGGAUUUC
rnacentral:misc_RNA from 1 species